CUGUGCUAGACGGGGAAUUAGCGGUGCCCUGUAUCUGAAACCCGCUAUACGCAGAGUCGAAUGCUUCCCGAGGCCUUUCCUAUGGUUGGCCGAUUGCGCCAAGGAGCGUCGAUGUUAAGGUCUCGUGCAAUGUCUAACUGUGAACCUGGUCAGGGCUUGACCGCAGCAGCCAUAAGCAGUCCCGGACAUGUGCCACGAGGUAGCUUUAACGGAGCCACCUGCCGCAAUACCGCUUCGGUGGGGAUUGUCGACGGAAGAUGCACAG
rfam:Faecalibacterium sp. CAG:1138 genomic scaffold, scf41